GGAAUUUUGCGCAAUGGGGGCAACCCUGACGCAGCAAUGCCGCGUGGAGGACGAAGGUCUUCGGAUUGUAAACUCCUUUUGUUAGGGAAAAAACGUCACGUGAAGAGCGUGAAUUGAUGGUACCUAACGAAUAAGCCACGGCUACCUUCGUUCCAGCAUCCGCGGUAAGACGAAGGUGGCAAGCGUUACUCGGAAUUACUAGGCGUAAAGCGUGGGUAGGUGGCUCGGUAAGUCUGUUGUGAAAGCUCCCGGCUUAACUGGGAGAGGUCAAUGGAAACUACCGGGCUUGAAUAUGGGAGAGGUCACUGGAAUUCCUGGUGUAGCGGUGAAAUGCGUAGAAAUCAGGAGGAACACCAAUGGCGAAAGCAGGUGACUGGACCAUUAUUGACACUGAGCCACGAAAGCUAGGGGAGCAAAC
rnacentral:rRNA from 1 species